rnacentral:rRNA from 1 species
UACAGGGGGGGCAAGCGUUGUUCGGAAUUACUGGGCGUAAAGGGCUCGUAGGCGGCCAACUAAGUCCGACGUGAAAUCCCAAGGCUUAACUUUGGAACUGCGUCGGAUACUGGAUGGCUUGAAUUCGGGAGAGGGAUGCAGAAUUCCAGGUGUAGCGGUGAAAUGCGUAGAUAUCUGGAGGAAUACCGGUGGCGAAGGCGGCAUCCUGGACCGACAUUGACGCUGAGGAGCGAAAGCUAGGGGAGCAAACGGG